CAAAGGUCCCAGCUGCCUGAACUUGGUGUACUGCAGAGGAAGGAGGGGCCUGGGAAUACAGGCUGAAAGUCAGAAGGGAGAGAAGACUGUACUUGCUGAAUGGACACUACUUGGAAGAGACGUCCCCCGUAUCACAGGCCCUGCUCCGUGGCCUGGGACACUUGUUACAACGACGCUGUGUGGCCUGGCAAAAGCUCCUGCCACUUACUUUCUGAUGGCUGCCUGGGGAGAAUGGCUAGGAAGGCUGAGCAUUUCCACCUGCCAGCCCCACCCCUGCCUGCUCCGCCCUUGAAAGGGACUGCAACUCUACCUUGUGUUUGAGGAGGCAAAGCAUUUUUUUUCUCAGUUGCCACCUGUAAUAGAAAUGCUAGUACUGUUUUGCUUAUUUAUGAUUAAUUAAGACUUGUACGUUAUAGGAUGUUUAUGCUUAUAUUUGUUAACUGCUUUGAUUGUUCUUCUUAAAAUUUGUUGUAACCUGCCCCGAGCCUGCUCACGGGGACAGUGGGCUAUAAAUCAAAUAAAUGAAUGGAAUGAAUGAAUGGCCAGACCCCA